GAGCUUUCAGCAGCACUUAUACUAAAAUUGGAAUGAAACAGAGAAAAUUAGCAUGGCCUCUGCACAAGGAUGACACGCAAAUUUGUGAAGCAUUCCUUAUUUUA